UACGUAGGGUGCGAGCGUUAAUCGGAAUUACUGGGCGUAAAGCGUGCGCAGGCGGUUCGUUGUGUCGGUGGUGAAAUCCCCGGGCUCAACCUGGGAAUUGCGAUGGAGACUGCAAGGCUAGAAUCUGGCAGAGGGGGGGUAGAAUUCCACGUGUAGCAGUGAAAUGCGUAGAGAUGUGGAGGAACACCGAUGGCGAAGGCAGCCCCCCUGGGUCAAGAUUGACGCUCAUGCACGAAAGCGUGGGGAGCAAACAGG
rnacentral:rRNA from 1 species